AUGUUGGGUUCCCGCCAGAGAUCUAUAUCGGAGAUUCUUCCCAACUUACAGAAGUACAUUUGUCAUCUUUAUAUCCGUCCAGAAUCAUCUCUUACGGUCGUGCCAAGCUUCCAUCUAUCGCUAGCAAUGUCGAGAGGCUUACCCUGUUGUCCUAUGAAUGUGAACACUCCAAUGCUUCCUGACAAGCUCCUCCACCUCAAGAGUUUGAAGAUUGUCCUUAACGGAUCAGGGCCCUGUUCCCCUGUCUAUGACACCUUUUCUCUGGCUUCUUUUCUUGAUGCUUCUCCUGCCUUGGAAUCUUUCAUCUUGCGUAUAGAACGAAAUGCCAUAAUACAUUAUUAUGAUGCUGGGGGCGAUGCAUACCCAAGGGGGAAACCGGCAUACCAGCAUGACCACCUCAAACGGGUGAUGAUCGCUGGCUUCCGUUCAGCCAAGAGCCUUAUUAAGCUUGUAAUCCACAUCCUUGAGAGCGCUCCUUCGCUGGAGUGUCUCACGCUGGAUACGACCCCUGGUGGCCAUGGUAGGAAGCUUGGUGAUACAAGCAUAUGCAGUGCUGCAAGAAUGUGGGGUAAAUGUUGUUAUAUGAGUGAGAGAGCUCUUGAAGAGGCUAACAGAGCUGUUGAGGCUGCGAGUAGAUACAUCAUUGGGAGAGUUCCAUCAACUGUUGAAUUUGAGGUCCUUGAGCCCUGUAGGCAAUGCCGUACUGGCAACCAGUAG
rnacentral:rRNA from 1 species